rnacentral:rRNA from 1 species
GGCUCAGGAUGAACGCUAGCGGCAGGCCUAACACAUGCAUGUCGAGGGGUAAUUUCGAUCUUCGGAUCGGAAACGACCGGCAAAUGGGUGAGUAAUACAUAUGCAACCUGCCCGUAGCUGGAGAAUAGCUUCCGGAAACGGAAAUUAAUACUCCAUAAUAUUCUAGUAUCGCAUGUUAUUAGAAUUAAAGCUUCGGUGGCUACGGAUGGGCAUAUGUCCCAUUAGCUUGUUGGUGAGGUAACUGCUCACCAAGGCUACGAUGGGUAGGGGGUCUGAGAGGAUGAUCCCCCACACUGGUACUGAGACACGGACCAGACUCCUACGGGAGGCAGCAGUGAGGAAUAUUGGUCAAUGGGCGAAAGCCUGAACCAGCCAUGCCGCGUGCAGGAUGACAGUCCUACGGAUUGUAAACUGCCUUUCUGCAAGAAGAAAUGUUCCGACGUGUCGGGAUUUGACGGUAUUGCAGGAAUAAGCAUCGGCUAACUCCGUGCCAGCAGCCGCGGUAAUACGGAGGAUGCAAGCGUUAUCCGGAUUCAUUGGGUUUAAAGGGUGCGUAGGCGGAUUAGAUAGUCAAAGGUGAAAGCCUGCAGCUUAACUGUAGAAGUGCCUUUGAUACUGCUAAUCUUGAGUACAGUUGAGGCGAGUGGAAUGUGUAGUGUAGCGGUGAAAUGCAUAGAUACUACACAGAACACCAAUUGCGAAGGCAGCUCGCUAAGCUGUUACUGACGCUCAGGCACGAAAGCGUGGGGAGCGAACAGGAUUAGAUACCUUGGUAGUCCACGCUGUAAACUAUGAUCACUAGCUGUUGGCGAUAAAUUGUCAGUGGCUCAGCGAAAGCGUUAAGUGAUCCACCUGGGGAGUACGAUCGCAAGGUUGAAACUCAAAGGAAUUGACGGGGGCCCGCACAAGCGGUGGAACAUGUGGUUUAAUUCGAUGAUACGCGAGGAACCUUACCUGGGCUUAAAUGUAGCGCGACGUCUCGAGAAAUCGGGAUUCCCUUCGGGGCGAACUACAAGGUGCUGCAUGGUUGUCGUCAGCUCGUGCCGUGAGGUAUCGGGUUAAGUCCCAUAACGAGCGCAACCCUUAUUGUUAGUUGCCAGCGGAUAAUGCCGGGGACUCUAACAAAACUGCCCGUGUAAACGGGAGGAAGGUGGGGAUGACGUCAAAU